GGUGUGGUAGUUCAGUUGGUUAGAAUGCCUGCCUGUCACGCAGGAGGUCGCGGGUUCGAGCCCCGUCCAUACCG
rnacentral:tRNA from 1 species